rnacentral:misc_RNA from 1 species
GUUGUUGUUGUUGUUAUUGUUGCAAGAUUCAAUGUACUUAUCCUUUUUAGUAGGUAAAACUUUAAUUUUACACAAUGUCUCAGCAUUCAGAAAAAGAGUGUAUUGACGCUAGCACAACAAAUAUUGAUCUUUGCACAUCUCCUUUAAAUAAGUUUGUAUGGAAUAUGGCUAACACAAGAGUAUUAUUAGAUUUAUGGAAAGAUAAUUACAAAGCAUUAACAUCUGCAAGAAGAAACACAAAUAUUUACAAACAAAUGGCAGCUGAAUUUUGAAACACAUUUAAUAUCGUACCUCCGUUAACUGGAUAUCAAAUUCAAUCUAAAAUUAGUAAUUUGAGGAAGCAAUUUAGACGAGAAAAACUUCAAGUUGGUUCAUCGGGAGGAGCUCCUAGUAAAUGGUGGCCUUACGAUAUUGUUGCCAAAAUAAUAGGUGGUGAAGCUUCCCUUGACAAUGACCUUUUAUCUCAAAGUCAAAACUUUUCUACUCAAGAUUUUCAAGGUGGUCAGAUUGCCAGAAUGGAAGAUGGCAAGGAGACUGUCAGUAUUUUAAAUAUUGAAGCUUUGGAUGAUACAAGUGAUGUGCAAUCAAUUGUCACUAUUCCUGAUGAGGAACUAACUCAAUCUACAUCCAGCUGCAAUAAACGAAGGAACUCUGAUGAUAAAAAAACUUUGAAUAAAAUAGCAAAAACUGA